rnacentral:rRNA from 1 species
UACGUAGGGUGCAAGCGUUGUCCGGAAUUAUUGGGCGUAAAGAGCGUGUAGGCGGCCCGAUUAGUCCGCUGUGAAAGUCCAGGGCUCAACCCUGGAAUGCCGGUGGAUACUGUCGGGCUAGAGUCCGGAAGGGGCGAGUGGAAUUCCUGGUGUAGCGGUGAAAUGCGCAGAUAUCGGGAGGAACACCUAGGGCGAAGGCAGCUCGCGGGGACGUACUGACGCUGAGACGCGAAAGCGUGGGGAGCGAACAGG